rnacentral:tRNA from 1 species
GGGCCUAUAGUUCAAUGGUAGAACACUUCGAUGGCAUCGAAGAGGCGCGAGUUCGAUUCUCACUAGGUCCA